GUGUCCUUUUAAGGGUGACAUGGUGCUAACACUAAAAGUAGUCAAUGUCCAAAGAAUCUAGAUAAGAGAUUGCAGAACUCCACUUUGGGUCCUGUUAGGACACACAUAC
rnacentral:snoRNA from 1 species